UACGUAGGGACCAAGCGUUGUUCGGAUUUACUGGGCGUAAAGGGCGCGUAGGCGGCAUAUUAAGUCAGCUGUGAAAUCUCCGAGCUUAACUCGGAACUGUCAGCUGAUACUGAUGUGCUAGAGUGCAGAAGGGGCAAUCGGAAUUCUUGGUGUAGCGGUGAAAUGCGUGGAUAUCAAGAGGAACACCUGAGGUGAAGACGGGUUGCUGGGCUGACACUGACGCUGAUAGCGCGAAAGCCAGGGGAGCAAACGGG
rnacentral:rRNA from 1 species